CCAGCACCCGCGGUAAUUCCAGCUCCAAUAGCGUAUAUUAAAGUUGUUGCAGUUAAAAAGCUCGUAGUUGGAUUUGUGGUUGAGGUGUCCGGUCCGACACUUUGUGUGGGUACUUGGACGGCUCGGCCAUCCUUGGGUGGAACCUGUGUGGCAUUAGGUUGUCGUGCAGAGGAUGCCCAUCUUUUACUGUGAAAAAAAUAGAGUGAUCCAAGCAGGCUUAUGCCGUUGAAUAUAUUAGCAUGGAAUAAUGAGAUAGGACCUUGGUACUAUUUUGUUGGUUUGCGCACCGAGGUAAUGAUUAAUAGGGACAGUUGGGGGUAUUCGUAUUCCAUUGUCAGAGGUGAAAUUCUUGGAUUUUUGGAAGACGAACUACUGCGAAAGCAUUUACCAAGGAUGUUUUCAUUAAUCAAGAACGAAAGU
rnacentral:rRNA from 1 species